GGUUAGCUCUUGUGUGUGUGUUUGUGUGUUUACGUGAUGUUUGUUUAUGUUGAGGCAAUGUCGUGUAAGGUUGUUAGGUUAGCUCUUGUGUGUGUGUUUGUGUGUUUACGUGAUGUUUGUUUAUGUUGAGGCAAUAUCGUGUAAGGUUGUUAGGUUAGGUUUUGUGUGUGUGUUUGUGUGUUUACAUGUUUGUUUGUGCUGAGGCGAUAUUGUGUAAGGUUGUUAGGUUACGUUAGGUUAGGUUAGGUUUUGUGUGUGUGUUUGUGUGUAUAGAUAUUAUUUGUUUGUAUGUUUUUUUUUUCUUUCUUUCAUUGCAGUUUUGUUUUGUUUUAUUUAUUUAUUUAUUUAUUUGUUUUUAUUGUAAUUUUUUUCUAUGUCUUAUUUCAUUUUAUUAUUUAUUUAUUUAUUUUUUAUUAUUUUUUUUCUGUACCUAUUUUAUUUAUUUUUAUUUAUUUUUUAUUUUAUCAUGUGUUAUUCACUAUCUAUUAAUUUAUUUUUGUUAUAUUUUUCUAUAACUUAUUUAUCUUUAUUACAUCACAACAUAUUAAUUGAUCUACAUUUUUCUUGAUUAUCUUCUUAUUUUUUUUCUCUCUCUCUCUUCCUUCCUUCCUUCCUCUCUUUCACAAUUAAUAACUUCUCAUAUUUCAUUCUGCAUUAUUCCUCUUUUAUUUAUUCCUUCAUAAUUGUUAAGUCUGCAUACACAUAUUCUUUCACUUAUUAUUUUCCUUUUUCAGUUUCUCCUUUAUUUGUUAUGCUUUUUUCUUUCAACGCAGCUUUUAUCUAUCUAUUCAUUCUAUUUUGUUUCAUUUUCUCUCUAUUUUUUUUUUUUUUUAAUCAUAUCUUUCCUCUUUGUUUAUUUACUUCAUUACGUAUGUCAAUUUUUUUUAUUUAUUUAUUUUUUUUUUGUUUAUGCAACUUGUUCCUUUUUUCAUCUAUUUCCUCAAAGACUUGGGUCAACACAGUGCUACACAACUCGGCAUCACAACACUGGAUGAUCUUAAUGCUAGCUCACUCUUCUCUCUCAAGUGUUAUUCCCGUUACAUCCACAACUAGUAAUCUAUCUUUAAAAAUAAAUAAAUAAAUAAAUAAGAAUAAAAAUAAAAGCCUAACAUAACACUUCAGUAUCUCAUUUGAUAAUAUUGUUGCCUGACAUUUUUUUAUUGAUAAUUGUUGACGCAAAUCUUGAAAAACCUGACUAAAUAAAAUGCCUAACACUUCAGUAUCUCAUUUGAUAAUAUUGUUACCUCUAUUUUUUUAUUGAUAAUUGUUGAUGCAAAGGUUGAUCUUGAAAAACCUGACUUUGUAUAUAAAAAACCUAACACUUCCGUAUCUCAUUUGAUAAUAUUGUUACCUCUAUUUUUUUAUUGAUAAUUGUUGAUGCAAAUCUUGACCUUGAAAAACCUCUGUAUAUAAAAUGCCUAACACUUCGGUACCUCAUUUGAUAAUACUGUAAGUUACACCACUCACUUCUUAUUGAUAAUUGUUGACGCAAAUCGUAAUCUUGAAAAACACUUGAUUCUUCUAGUACAAACACUGGCAAACAGUUCCGCAGCGCUACACUUGAUGAUAACACAAGUUUUCUCACUCGAAUUUUAAAGACAACUGUUUACGCAAAUGUUCGUCUUGAAAAACACUGCAGAAAACAGCCCUUUAGAAAAAAAAAUGUAAUUCUUUUGAUACACACACUGUUAAACAGCUCAAAAUCCUUACAGCUGAUGAUAUUACAAGUACAUCACACAUCUCCUUGCAAUAUAUAGCCAAUAGGUAGACGACUGUUAAGCUUUCCCUCUAAUUUUCUUACGUACAAACAGACAGACGCAUCACAACAGUGGCCUUGCUCAUCAACUGCAUAGCUCAAGUUAUUUAUUUAUAUAUUUUUAAGAUAUAAAUCCUUUUUUUUUUUUUAAUUAAUGCUUGGAAAGGUCGUUCUCUCUCUCUCUCUCUCUCUCUCUCUCUCUCUGCCAAUACACACAAAAUACAUCAAAACAUGAAAUACACAAUAAAUAAAGAUAUGGUAACUUAUGCUAUACUAACACACAUACACACACACACUUGUAAAUAUGUGUGUGUGUGUGUGUGUGUGUGUGUGUGUGUGUGUGUGUGUGUGUGUGUGUGUGUGUGUGUGUGUGUGUGUGUGUGAUAGUGAAAGUUUAAACAUAUGAAAAAGUAAACAAUGUAUGUAUGUAUGUAUGUAUGUAUG